AGGGGCAACAUCCCCUAAAAAAAACUUAGUUUCGGUUAAACAAAUAACAAAAUUGUUGUGUGAAAAAUAAAAUUUUAGUAAAAUUUAAAAUGUGAACAAAAUCAGAAGAGCUCUACACAAAUCGGCACACAUAAUACCUCGUUAAGACUAAUAUAUAUAUAUCGGCCAACGCAAAUACACGGACACUAUGAUGCAACAAUACAGCUAGGAAAGCCCUGUAAACUGAUGUGACGCUCUCCGUAGGAUGGAACAAUUUCUACUUCCACGAAUCACAAGGCGACACUACUUAAUCUGGCGAACAAUCCUCUACUCUGGUACACAGCCAUCCUUGACGGACAGCGUACAGCUUUUGACGGGCUUUCCUAGGUCUUUAUAGCGGUGACAUACUGGAGGUGACAUACAUACACGCAAAUAUUCACGCACUACACAUUCACAAUUUCUCGUUAAAUAACUGGAGGCUAAUGGCGAGACCUUUGGCAUGGCGAACACACAUUUUAAUGUUUGAAACAAUUCUAGCAUGUAAAUAAAUAUAAUUAAAGAAAUGACAGUUGUUUCACUUUACCUUGAAUUGAAUUGAACGGGUUGCUUUGGUUGGGAAAAUUUGACAAAUUGGGUGUUUUUGAUUCAGCAAAAGUGCCUGUGAGGCCGUGAAUAUUAUUUAUAAUAUUCAUGUAAUUGAUCAGAAGCAGCUCUGUCGACCUAGACUUGUUCUCCUGUCGUUGGCUCAUAAAACUACGGAUUCUUCUGUGACACAUCGGGUAUUUAGAAAAAAGGAAAUGCACUAUCGGUUGCCGUCGCUACAGCUGAGAAAAUUCUUUGCUAUGGCCCGGUACUUGGUGAGGAUCGUUCUCUUGGGGGCCCAGUCGAUUGGCAAGGCGUUCGCGAAGACGGUGCGUCAGGAGGUCGAAGUUUACAGGGAGGCAGCCCGGGUGCAUGCAGCGCAGUCCGCCACCUUUAAUCCCACCAAAACCGAUGCUGCGCUCAAGGGUAUGACGCUGGAAGAGGCGCAGCUGAUUCUGAACGUAAAGGAUGUGCUGGAUCGCGGAGAAGUCGAGAACAAGUUCCAGUACUUGUUUCAUGCCAAUCAGAAGAAGGGAGGCGGAUCGUUCUACAUUCAAUCGAAAGUCGUUCGGGCCAAGGAACGUAUUGAUCAGGAGAUCAAGAAGUGGGAGGCCCAGACCGUGUCUCAGUCAGAGUCCAAGUAGCAAAACCGCAAAAUACAACACAAAAGAACACGUUGUCAAAAAAUUGGAUGGCUGUAGUAGGCCAUUCUCGGUUCAAAACCAGUCGUAGUGCAAGUGAAAGUUUACGAGCUAUUGAAAAAAUCAAACAAAUUCAGUAUCGUUUCGGGCUCCAUAGGGGCAACAUCCCCUAAAAAAAACUUAGUUUCGGUUAAACAAAUAACAAAAUUGUUGUGUGAAAAAUAAAAUUUUAGUAAAAUUUAAAAUGUGAACAAAAUCAGAAGAGCUCUACACAAAUCGGCACACAUAAUACCUCGUUAAGACUAAUAUAUAUAUAUCGGCCAACGCAAAUACACGGACACUAUGAUGCAACAAUACAGCUAGGAAAGCCCUGUAAACUGAUGUGACGCUCUCCGUAGGAUGGAACAAUUUCUACUUCCACGAAUCACAAGGCGACACUACUUAAUCUGGCGAACAAUUCUCUACUCUGGUACACAGCCAUCCUUGACGGACAGCGUACAGCUUUUGACGGGCUUUCCUAGGUCUUUAUAGCGGUGACAUACUGGAGGUGACAUACAAACACGCAAAUAUUCACGCACUACACAUUCACAAUUUCUCGUUAAAUAACUGGAGGCUAAUGGCGAGACCUUUGGCAUGGCGAACACACAUUUUAAUGUUUGAAACAAUUCUAGCAUGUUAAUAAAUAUAAUUAAAGAAAUGACAA